rnacentral:lncRNA from 1 species
GUUUUUUAUGUCAAUAGAUGACGUUCACUUUUCAGUCAGUAAGAAUACUAAGUGGCGGGCGAAACAAGCCCUUCUACAUGCUGCCCAUCCCUGCGGAGGGGUCAGUCGGAUUGUGGAAAACAGGGAUCGACGGGCUAGGCUUGGACUCCAUGAUAAAUAUUUUCAAGCAGUGGGGACCAAGACUCGAACCCGGAUUCUUCAGAAUGGAAAGCCGAAGCGUUUCCACGCGGCCAAUCCGAUAGACUUUAAUGAUGGAUUAUAAUUUGGAAGGAAAAUGUAACAGAAUAUGUUUUAGUUUUCAAGUAUA